rnacentral:rRNA from 1 species
UACAGAGGGGGCAAGCGUUGUUCGGAAUUACUGGGCGUAAAGGGCGCGUAGGCGGCCUUCUAAGUCGAACGUGAAAUCCCCGGGCUCAACCCGGGAACUGCGUCCGAUACUGGCGGGCUUGAAUCCGGGAGAGGGAUGCGGAAUCCAGGUGUAGCGGUGAAAUGCGUAGAUAUCAGGAGGAACACCGGUGGCGAAGGCGGGUCUCUGGGCCGAUACUGACGCUGAGGAGCGAAAGCGUGGGGAGC